GCAAGUAUAGUUUAAAUCAAACAUUAGACCGUGACCCUAAAAAUAGAAGUUAGACCCUUCUUACCUGCC
rnacentral:tRNA from 1 species